CAUCCUUGGAGAUUUCUUCGAUUAUUUGUGACCCACGCGCACAUUUGAGCAAGCAAUGGCAGUGAUCUUCAGAGACUUUCACUGUCUAAGAGAUUUCGCCUCUUUCAAGAGGCAGCCACACUCCUUGGAGAUUUCUUCGAUUGCAGUUCCUGCGGCAGGCUUUCAUCAUACUCAAGUGUGCUUCAUAACAACCUUGCUCUUCUGGGGGAAUCCAUGGUUCUCAUCGUCAAUUUCUCCAUUUUGGUUUUUUUUCCCCAUUCUCCUCUUCAUAAAUGGUGGUGUUUCUUACGAGGAGAGCUCGACGUAGAAACGAGGGAUAUUAAGGAAUCCGGGAAAAUAACCACAGAUCGUCAUGAGAAUGCGGAGGAGGCUGCGGCGAGCAUGCAUGACCUUGCGCAAGUAGAACUCGCCCAAGCAUUCGAGGAAGGGGAUCCGUUUCAGAGAUAGGGAAUGGGUGGUGCUGGAUGGGGGAGAAGAUGAUGUCGAGAAGCUCUUCGCAUGAGGGCACAGCCGUAAGCCGCUAGAACCUGUAAACCGGUUCAUCUUCUUCCCGUGGCCUGCUAGCUGAAGCCCCUCUCGCGCCUCCACUUCCUCCAGUCAGUCUUUGGAAAAUAUCAGGGCACACUACUUUUAAAUCCAUUCUCAACAAUACUUCCUCCUCCGUUUCUGAAGCAUCAUUCAGAUUCAUGGAGUCCUUCACGCCGAUCCCGACUCCUCCUUUCUAAGAUUACCAUUCUUCACCGCCAUGGCGCCGCGCCCUCCUUCUUCGGAAUGAGCCGGCAACAUGAGCACUGCAUCGAGGCCUCAGCUUUAGUCUGACUCAGCAAAUCCCUCGCCUAAACUUUCCAUAGACCGACCUCAAAUCGAUUUUGUUGCAUUCCACUCUACGGACAAGGGUUUGUUUCUGCCUCAACUUGCGGAAAAGUAAGUGAGGCCUGAGCAACGGUCUGACGACCCUGAUACAUCGAAUCGAAGAAGAAGAGUAAGGUGCAGGCCCCCACACGACACAAGACGUUAUGUGCAUGAAUUCCCACAGAAAUACCUGCGUAUCAAUGCAAGUGAUCUGCUUAAGGAAUGAGGUCUUUCCCGUCUUCGAGGAGCCUUGCUCGCUCUAGGUAGGUAAUCAAAGGCGGAGUCGUCGCGCUGCUCAUUCGAGAAAUGGCAGCGACCUUCAGAGAUUUGAAUUGUCUAAGAGUUUUUGCUUCUUUCAAGAGGUGGCCGAUUCAUGUGUCUCUGAUUAGGGUUAUGGCUCCUUCCAUAAUAAAUAGGUGUGCUGCAUAAAGGUCCUGCUCUUUAGGGACUGCAUUGUUCUCGUUGUCAUCCUCUCCCGGGUAUCCAUCGUUUUCAUUGUCAUGCUCUCUAAUGGUUUUGUACUUACUCCUCUUCAUAUAUGGUGGUGGAGUCUUUGUGCAGGUAGAACUCGCGCAUUAAAGAAAGGGAAUAGGUUUCGGAGAUGGGGAAUUGGUGGUGCUGGGUGGGAGAGAGGAUAAUGUCGAAAAACUCUUGGUAUGAGGGCACAGCCUUCAUCCUCUUCAACCUGGAAAUCACCAUGGUUGUACUCUUUCUCUU